GUAUCGUCGGCAGCGUCAGAUGUGUAUAAGAGACAGGUGGUAGAAGAGCGUUGUAUGCGGGUUGAAGCCGAAGAGUGAUCUGAGGUGGACUGCAUACAAGUGACCAUGCAGGCAUGAGUAGCGAAAAACCGGAUGAGAAUUCCGGUCACCGAAAACCUAAGGUUUCCCGGGGAAGGUUCGUCCGCCCGGGGUUAGUCGGAACCUAAGGCGAGGCCGAAAGGCGUAGUCGAUGGAGGACAGGUUAAUAUUCCUGUACCACCUUGCUUGAGUGAUGGAGGGACGCAGUAAGUCAGGCGAGCCAACUGCUGAAUAUGUUGGUCGAAUCCCGUAGGGCGUGUCAUAGGCAAAUCCGUGACACAUCAGCCUGAGAGGCGUAAGGUAUCCGGGCGCAAGUCUGGAGAAUUCGCUGUGACUACACUGACGAGAAAAGCUUCUAAACGUUGACAGCAGGGUGUCCGUACCGUAAACCGACACAGGUAGGUGAGGCGAGUAGCCUAAGGUGCGCGAGAGAAACCAACGUUAAGGAACUCGGCAAAUCAGCCCCGUAACUUCGGAAUAAGGGGUGCCGUUUCAGGUGGAGGGAUUUACUCCCCGAGCCCGGGACGGUUGCAAUAAAGAGGCCGGUGCGACUGUUUAACAAAAACAUAGCUCUAUGCCAACUCGUAAGAGGAUGUAUAUGGAGUGACACGUGACCAAUGCCAAAAGGUCAAUGGGAGAGGUUAGCGCAAGCGAAGCUUCGAUCUGAAGCCCUGGUGAAUGUCGGCCGUAACUAUAACGGUCCUAAGGUAGCGAAAUUCCUUGUCGGGUAAGUUCCGACCUGCACGAAUCGUGUAACGAUGCCGGCACUGUCUCAACGUGGAUCUCGGCGAAGUUGUAAUUCCGGUGAAAAUGCCGGAUACCUGCGGAAGGACGGAAAGACCCCAUGAACCUUUACUGUAAUCUGAUAUUGGUAUUUGAUUGCUCUUGUGUAGCAUAGGUGGGAGGCUGUGAAGCCGCUACGCCAGUACCGGUGGAGCCACAGGUGAAAUACCACCCUGGUGUAAUUAGAUAUCUAACGGAUGCCCGUGAAUCCGGACUCCGGACCGUGUCAGAGGGUCAGUUUGACUGGGGCGGUUUCCUCCUAAAUUGUAACGGAGGAGCCCGAAGGUACACUCAGCACGGUUGGCAAUCGUGUGUAGAGCGUAAGGGUAGAAGUGUGCUUUACUGUAAGACCGACAGGUCGAGCAGUUGCGAAAGCAGGGCCUAGUGAUCCAGCGAUGGAAUGUGGAAUCGUCGUUGCUCAACGGAUAAAAGGUACUCUGGGGAUAACAGGCUGAUAGCGCCCAAGCGUCCAUAGCGACGGCGCUGUUUGGCACCUCGAUGUCGACUCAUCACAUCCUGGGGCUGUAGAAGGUCCCAAGGGUUCGGCUGUUCGCCGAUUAAAGAGGUACGCG
rnacentral:rRNA from 1 species